UACGUAGGGUGCAAGCGUUAAUCGGAAUUACUGGGCGUAAAGCGUGCGCAGGCGGCUUUGCAAGACAGAUGUGAAAUCCCCGGGCUUAACCUGGGAACUGCAUUUGUGACUGCACGGCUAGAGUACGGCAGAGGGGGAUGGAAUUCCGCGUGUAGCAGUGAAAUGCGUAGAUAUGCGGAGGAACACCGAUGGCGAAGGCAAUCCCCUGGGCCUGUACUGACGCUCAUGCACGAAAGCGUGGGGAGCAAACAGG
rnacentral:rRNA from 1 species